UCCAGGCUCUGAGCUGUCAGCACAGAGCCCAAUGCAGGGUUCAAACUCAUCUACUGGGAGAUCACGACCUGAGCCAAAGUCGGGCGCCUAACCGACUGAGCCAUCCAGGCGCCCCUGUUGAGGAGGACUUUUUAAUCAUGAACUGGGGAAAUAUCGAUGGCAUACUGUGAAGCAGAAUCAUUGUCCUUUGAACUCAGUGCAAUUUCUCACUGUGGUUUUCUCAAAAUGAAAAUAAAGCUGGUAUCUAAUGUGUUUUCACAUCACAAGUGCACAGUUAAUCUUGUAUAUGGAUAAGACACCUUUGCUAAAUGCUAGAAAAAACUGAUAGAACUAGCUUUUGGUGUUCUUGCAAUAUCUUUACUACCUUCCCUUUAUUUAAAGGACUUUGGAUCUAUAAUUUUACUCAAAUGUGGGAAUUGAGUGGGGAUUAAAACUCUAUUUUGGUGGUUUCAAUCAGGACUCUAUGCAUGAGCUAGAAUACUUUUUAAUAUUGGAGAUAUAAUAGUACCUUAAUGAGAGGACAUUAAUUAUGAUACUUGGAAAUCCAUGGUCGGUUUAUACCUACAAUAAUCUAUGAGUCCUAUAAUUUUGAUGAUUCUAAUGGCCCUAUUGUUCAUUAGGGCCACAACAGACCUUUGCCUCUUGUAAAUAAAUCCCAUGUCUUUGGUUUCUGACAACAGGAAUACUGCCAAUCCCAGUGUUUUGGGAGAGACCUGUGUUACUUUGGCAUCGCUUACCUGUAAUCUCUUUGGAUAAAAGUUAUCUAAUCUCUGGAUAAAAGGAAUGGUCUGGGAGAAUCAUAGUGAAUGGUUAAUCAGGUCACAAUCUGGACAGACAUUCUAACAUUCCAUAUUCCAAAGUUCUUAUAUCCUUCUUACCUUAAAUACAAUGAAUUUCUGUCAUUGUACUCCUCAUGGGUUUCCAUUGGGACUAAUUUUUAGACAACAGGCUUAUUAAACAACUAGAAAUAAGUCCAACUGAUCAAAGUAACCAGAGGUUUUGUAAGGUACAUGGAGACGUAAUCAAUACGGAUCUAACACCCACUCAUAAUGCUUUGGAAUUGAACCGAAAGAUCAUUUUGAAGGAAAAUAAUACAUAAGGGGUACUGCUCUUACUGCUAAUGUCAAACCCCUUUCCAGGGAAAGAAAGAGAAAACUAAGAAAACAAAUUUGUCUCUGAAGAGAUGGAAAUGAUAGGUACAUUAGACCAUUAAAGCCUUCCUGUUGUCUCUGCCUUACUCAUUUACCAAGGCACUGCUUUUGUGCAUCUGUUGUCAUCCAUUAUUUAUGCGUCUUAUUCAUGCCGCUGCAAACAGUGCCAGUGGUAUGCAUUCUUUGUUACCGUGUUUUUUCAGACAGUGUAAAUAAAUAAGCAGAAAUUCAGACCAUCUAUAAUGUUACGACUCUCCUUCCUUCUGUUCAUUUAUGUUGAUGCUUCGCAUGUUGCACACCUUCUAAUAUCCCGUUCCUGUUUUUCAUUAUUUAAUUCAUGCUACCUCAAGCCUAUUAAUAAAUAAGUAUCUUGAUGUCUUGUUCUGCCUUUCUGAAAUUCUCAAGGGAGCAUACAGAUUAAACCUCUAUUGGAAUUUUUCCCACAUUACUAGUUUGGUACAAGUGAAUUACAUAUGUAAACACAAACAUUGAUGUUCAUAUAUUUAUAAUUGAUGCAUAUUAAUAUAUAAGCAAUAUAAGAAAGUGAUUAACCUGUCAGAUGCCAGAAGACAAAGUGAACAUAUCACAUUUCUGCUGUAAGUCAAUCUGGGUAUAAUCUUGACCCACAUGUUCAUGCAGUAUUGAAAUUGCCAAAUGGAAUCUCAUAAUCAUCAUUUGUGCUUCCCAUUUUCCGGAUGAUGGAAGUGGUUCCCAUAGGGAUGCGUCGGUUGAUCUGACUUAGUACCAGUGAAAAAAUGGCCAGUGUGCACCAUUCGGUGUCAUGAUCCAAAUUAAGUUCAAAGAGAGGAUCUGGUAUUCAGGAUGUGGGUUGAUUUGCCUCUACUUCUUACAACCCAGAAAACACAUAGCAUUUCUAUCCCUUCGUUAACUGCAUUCCCUCUUUAUACCCUCUUCACGUUAUUUUGUCCCUGGCACACUCGUUCUGUAGCAUGACUGUUUCUUCUUUUUCCCUGCCCCCAUUUCAAAGAAGGAUUUCAGAUGAGAACUGAAUCAUAGUUUAAUUUUAAUCUUGUUCCCCUUGCCCAAAGAGACAUACCUAGAAAAAUGUUUCCAUGGCCAAUGCCAAAGAAAUUAUUGCCUAUGUUUUCUUCUAAGAGUUUUAUGGUUUCAGUUCUCACAUUUAGGUCUCUCAUGCAUUUUGAGUUUAUUUUUGUGUGUGGUGUAAGAAAGUGGUCCAGGUUCAUUCUUUUGUGUGUGGCUGUCCAGUUUUCCCAGCCUCAUUUGUUGAAGAGACUGUCUUUUCCCAAUUGCAUAUUCUUGCCUCCUUUGUGGUACACUAGUUGAGCUUAUAAGUAUGGGUUUAUUUCUGAGAUGUGAUAAACACUUUAAAUAUAGUGCUAAUUAAUAGUGUGGGUCCUAAAUUAAAAAGGCUGAGAAACAUCGUACAGGAAGCAGAUCACUUUCCUGGAAAGACAGUUAACUUAUAAUUGCUUAAAGUGUAAAAUUUUCAAUAACGUUCUGCAAAUACUACCACCUUUGACUCUUACACCAAUCCUGAAGCUUUCCUAGUAGAUGAUGUGAUCUCUGGUUCACUACAAAAAAAUGUGACUUAAGGGUGCCUGAGUGGCUCAGGCAGUUAAGCAUCCAACUUCGGCUCGGGUCAUGAUCUCAUAGCUUGUGGGUUUGAGCCCCGCAUCAGGCUCUGUGCUGACAGCUCAGAGCCCGGAGCUGCUUUGGAUUCUGUGUCUCCAUUCCUCUCUGCCCAUCUCCCACUCAAGCUCUCUCUAUCUCUCUCUAUCUCUCUCUCUUAAAAAUAAAAUAAAUGUUAAAAAUUUGUUUAAAAUGUGACUUAGAUUAUUUUCCUUUUCUGCAGUACCUAAAAGGAGGGUAGGAGGGCAUGGUAUCUCAGGACACAGAGGUACCAUUCUGAACUCCAAUUUCUAAUCUGGAGUUGCAUCUGGAAAAAUCAGGUGAGGGAAUUAAAUCCUACCCUGAGAAUAUUCCCCUUGUCAGGUAUCGUCUUAGGUAUUUUUGAGAGUGUUUUGUUUUUGUUUUUUGUUUUUGAGCAGUCAUGAAAUUAUCAGACUCACAUGAAAACAUUUCAGAAAUUGAGAAGAUUUUGAAAACGUAGAGAAUAGAAUCCCGCUAAGGAAAUGAAAUAUCCUGUAUGUAACACUCCACACUAAGUACAAAAGAUAAACUCUGGUUAAUAUAGGUGGGUUAUAUAUAGAUCAAUACCAGCCUUUGUAAGAAGGAUAUAAGUCUUAUUUGGCUGAAGGCUUAAUAUCAGACAACAGAGAGUGAGGGAGGACAAGAAUGCCAAUGUGAGUGAAGCCAGCCUGAUGAGGAAUAGAGCCAGUGAGGGAGACAAGAAUAUUCUCACUCUUCCAUGAACUUGACACAUCCCACCUACAAGCUGCAUUUGCGCUUCAAGAAGGACAUUCACGAACUAAUUUAAACACAUCCAGAGAAGAAGGAUGACGGUGGGCUAGGAGAUCAUCUCCUAUGAGGAUCAUUUGAGAGAACUGAGGAGACUCCUCUCUACCAGGAGGUAUUUGCUCAAUGGAUGAACGUAUAAAUGGAUUACAAAGCAGGCAGCUUGUUUUCAACACUUCAGUGAGAUUUCUAAAUGGACCACUCAUUUAAUAUAAGAAAAUGUCUAAAGGUAGGGGAAACACAGCCCUAGGUCUCAAUUUCUUCUUGACAUGGGCCCGAAAACAUGUUUUUAAUGGUUUUACCUGGGUUCUGCGCCACUGUGAAAUGUCACUGAACCCAGGUAGAGGGAGUUGGGGUUUUUGAUCUUGUGCUAAAUCAGGCUCACUAUGGGUGGCAGCUGGUCUAUAAUUGAGAAGAAGAGUCUGGCUGUUUGGGGUGUGGGCAUUCCCUGUAUAAUCACAGCAAUGUGCUGGCUUGGCAUAUCAUCAAAUAUUCUUUUUGAACCUGUCUGAUCACUUCCAGAGACAGAGGAGGUUCUAUUUUGUUAUGGUUUGUUGA